UACGUAGGAUGCAAGCGUUGUCCGGAUUUACUGGGCGUAAAGGGCGCGCAGGCGGCACUACAAGUACUGGGUGAAAUCUCCUUGCUCAACGGGGAGGGUGCUUAGUAGACUGUAGAGCUAGAGGUGGGUAGAGGGUGGUGGAAUUCCUGGUGUAGCGGUGGAAUGCGCAGAUAUCAGGAGGAACACCGAUGGCGAAGGCAGAUCUCUGGGCCGUAACUGACGCUGAGGAGCGAAAGCGUGGGGAGCGAACAGG
rnacentral:rRNA from 1 species